UACGUAGGUGGCAAGCGUUGUCCGGAUUUACUGGGCGUAAAGGGUGCGUAGGUGGAUAUUUAAGUCAGAUGUGAAAUACCCGAGCUCAACUUGGGUGCUGCAUUUGAAACUGGGUAUCUAGAGUGCAGGAGAGGAAAGUGGAAUUCCUAGUGUAGCGGUGAAAUGCGUAGAGAUUAGGAAGAACACCAGUGGCGAAGGCGACUUUCUGGACUGUAACUGACACUGAGGCACGAAAGCGUGGGUAG
rnacentral:rRNA from 1 species